UUGACCUCGGUUUUAGGUAGGAAUACCCGCUGAACUUAA
rnacentral:rRNA from 1 species